rnacentral:tRNA from 1 species
AGGGUUGUAGUUAAUUAUAAUAUUUGAUUUGCAUUCAAAAGGUGUCUUUUAGACCUUCCUUA